rnacentral:lncRNA from 1 species
UUUUUUCCUCUCCAUUCAGAUUGUCACCAUCCUAAUCCAGACCCUAUGACCCCCUGCCCCAUCACCACAUGAGAAUCUCUGUGUUCUAAGUUACCCCAAUCUCCCUGCACUACCUAACCAGUGCCACUUGACACACUUUCUCCUUUUCUUUGUGUGCACCAGUGCCUUCAGUGGCUGGCCAGUACCUAUGUACAACCCACUGUGCUGUGCAUGACUAAACUUUUCAACUUAAUUUUCACUUCCUUCCAAUAGGUAUUUAUUGAGUACCUGCAGUGUACUCUACAUCCUCCUUAGCUCCAGGGGAACGAAUAAGCCAGACCUAUUUCUUUUUUUUGUCUUUCAGAGAAGGGGGUUGAUAUUUAAGUUAAAUGCUCAGAAAGAGAUGCUGUGAAAGCAUGUAUGGGGGAGACAAAGCUAGUCUCUGGGGUCGUGAGAUGGCUCCUUGGCAGUGACAGUUAAGCUGAGGCCUCAAGCUGGAAUAUGACUAAUUAGUGAGGUGUAGGUGAGGGGGCAGGAUAUGCAAAUGGCCUGAUGUGGGGAACAUUCUGAUGCAUCUGUGGGAAGAAGGAAGGCUGGUGUGGCUGGAUGUAAGAGAUACGGGGAAGCACAGUGGGGGAGAAAGGUCAAAGGUCACCAGGGCCCAGACCAUGCAGAGCCUGGGAGGAUGCAUUGAGGAAUCUGGGCUUUAUUAGAGGCAAUGGGAAAUCAAAGGCAUGUUUGAUUUCAUGGAGGAAUGUAACCAUUUAUUGUGUUUUUUUUUUUUUGUUUUUUUUUUUUUUUUUUUUUUUUUUUGUUUUUUUUGCUUUUUCUAGGGCCGCUCCCGUGGCAUAUGGAGGUUUAACAUCAGGAAACAAAAUUUCUUAUUUUUGGAAAGGGCUUAGAGACAGUCAUAAGUCUAAUAUAAUCAGGGCAGGAUUCUCCAGCUGGCAAGUUGAGCUGUGAAUCCAGAAAUAAUCUACACAGGUGACUACUGUUUUAAUGACUUCUGGUUAUUGUUUUGAUUUUCUCAGCCACACUGUUAUAUAGUGCCAGCCUGCCAUACUAUAAAUACAUUUGCUUAUGCAUUAGAGAAAAUCCUUCCAGAAUACUUAGCACCGUGAAAGCAGAGCUAAGAAUGUUAGGAAGGAGCUCUGUGAUUAUGAAGUUGUUGCUUGAUUUUGAAUCACUCACAGACAUCUACACAGUAACCACUCUGUGCUGGGGGCUGGGGAUCCAAUGUGGAUUAGAGAGAGACCCUCCCUGUAAAACACACACAGUCCCUCCUGUAUCACAAAUGCCCUUGUUGGAGUUCCCCUUGUGGCUCAGCAGGUUAAGAAGGCAACUAGGAUCCAUGAGGAUGUGGGUUUGACCCCCUGGCCUUGCUCAGUGGGUUAAGGAUCUGGGGUUGCCAUGAGCUGCUGCAUAGGUUGCAGAUGUGGCUUGGAUCCUGCAUUGCUCUGGCUGUGGCAUAGGUCUGUGGCUGCAGCUCUGAUAUGACCCCUCAUUCAAUAACUUCCAUAUGCUGCAAUUGAGGGCCCCCCUCCAAAAAAAACCCCUUGGAAAGCAGAGACUAGAAUCCAAUGCAAUUUGUAUCACUGGGAGCACAGAAAGGGGAAGCCUAGCUCUGUUUGCAACAUCAAGAGAAGGCAUAUUUAAGAAAGUGUCCACAGCGACUGAGUCUCCAUGAAGGAACAGUACCUCCCUAAUGGAGGAGGCAGAGGAGAGCAAGGCGGAGCAGCCAAGACCCGGCAGAACAGAGACUUGGAGAAUGCCGGUUUGGAAAAGACUCCUUG